CCCCAGACUCCUACGGGAGGCAGCAGUGAGGAAUAUUGGUCAAUGGCCGUAAGGCUGAACCAGCCAAGUAGCGUGAGGGAAGACUGCCCUAUGGGUUGUAAACCUCUUUUAUGCGGGGAUAAAGGUGUCCACAUGUGGAUGUUUGCAGGUACCGCAUGAACAAGGACCGGCUAAUUCCGUGCCAGCAGCCGCGGUAAUACGGAAGGUCCGGGCGUUAUCCGGAUUUAUUGGGUUUAAAGGGAGCGUAGGCCGGUCUUUAAGCGUGCCGUGAAAUUGUGUGGCGCAACCAUGAGAGUGCGGCGCGAACUGGAGACCUUGAGUGCGCGGAAGGCAGGCGGAAUUCGUGGGGUAGCGGUGAAAUGCUUAGAUUUCACGCAGAACCCCGAUUGCGAAGGCAGCAUACCGGCGCCCUACUGACGCUGAGUCACGAAAGUGCGGGUAUCGAACAGGAUUAGAUACCCGUGUA
rnacentral:rRNA from 1 species